UCAGGAUGAACGCUGGCGGCGUGCUUAACACAUGCAAGUCGAACGAAGCACUUUCUUACGAUCCCUUCGGGGUGACGAGUUUGUGACUGAGUGGCGGACGGGUGAGUAACGCGUGGGUAACCUGCCUUAUACAGGGGGAUAACAGUUGGAAACGGCUGCUAAUACCGCAUAAGCGCACAGUAUCGCAUGAUACAGUGUGAAAAACUCCGGUGGUAUAAGAUGGACCCGCGUCUGAUUAGCUAGUUGGUGAGGUAACGGCUCACCAAGGCGACGAUCAGUAGCCGAUCUGAGAGGAUGAACGGCCACAUUGGGACUGAGACACGGCCCAGACUCCUACGGGAGGCAGCAGUGGGGAAUAUUGCACAAUGGGCGAAAGCCUGAUGCAGCGACGCCGCGUGAGCGAUGAAGUAUUUCGGUAUGUAAAGCUCUAUCAGCAGGGAAGAUAAUGACGGUACCUGACUAAGAAGCACCGGCUAAAUACGUGCCAGCAGCCGCGGUAAUACGUAUGGUGCAAGCGUUAUCCGGAUUUACUGGGUGUAAAGGGAGCGUAGGCGGUCUUGCAAGUCUGAUGUGAAAGCCCGGGGCUCAACCGCGGGAUUGCAUUGGAAACUGUAGGACUUGAGUAUCGGAGAGGUAAGUGGAAUUCCUAGUGUAGCGGUGAAAUGCGUAGAUAUUAGGAGGAACACCAGUGGCGAAGGCGGCUUACUGGACGAUAAC
rnacentral:rRNA from 1 species